GCCGGGUAUGGUGGCUCACGCCUGCAAUCCCAGCACUUUGGGAGGCUGAGGCGGGUGGAUCACUUGAGGUCAGGAAUUUGAGACCAACUUGGUUAACAUGGUGAAACCCCGUCUCUACUAAAAAUACAAAAAGUAGCUGGGCGUGGUGGCGGGUGCCUGUAAUCCCAGCUACUCGGGAGGCUGAGGCAGAAGAAUUUCUUGAACCUGGGAGGCAGAGGUUGCAGUGAGCCGAGAUCGCACCAGCACACUUCAGCCUGGGCAACAGAGCGAGAUUUCGUCUUA
rnacentral:sRNA from 1 species